UUCUGCACGGGCUUCUGGGCAGGCAGCACUAACACUCAGGAGAAGGUCUGCCUCUGUCUGCGCCUUCCUGGUUCAAUGCAGGCAGAUGAGUGUCACAGAUGUAACUGAGGCACUGAAUAAUCAACAUAUCGGAGCCAAUUCCCAGGACGGCAAGAGGGGGAACCGGCAGAGAUGACUGACCCUGGAGGACAAGAGCAUUCUUCUGACAAGUUUUAGCAUGGACUAUCCUCAGGAAAAUGAGAUCCAGGAAGAGUGACGCCCUCCUCGAACUGAAAGAUACUCAGGCUGAUGGAGUCAGGGACGAAGUGGCUUAUCAACAACACAGGAUGUCUGCAGGGAACAGAACUUAUUCAGACAUGGCCCAGAUUGUCUGCCCGUGGGGACUGAGGGACCUCUGAGGGUUACAUCAGGAAGGAGAGGCUGUUUCUACAGGUGCCACAGAAAAAUCGAUGCUGAGCCUCGGAUUAUUGGAUCCCAUAGAACCGUGGAGACUUGGCAGUGAAAUUCUUCCAAAGCAUUCCAUCUGCGCAGGCAGGCAGAGGUGUUCCUGGUUUGGGAAGUAUAAAUCCCGUGGGAAGUCAACUGGAGGACAUUUUACGCGUCACUCAUCCUAUUAUGAGCCUGCUGCUCCUCCGUCUCUUGACAAGGCCACCAACUAGAAGGGCACAGAAUUGUUCAUAAAAAAGCUGAAUGUGAACGUCUUUGGAUUCCCAUUUAAUGAGUUGGCAGCUAAAGGACAGGAGCAGCAAUAAGGCUUCCUGGCUACAUUUUCAUGGUGCCACCAACUGCGAG
ensembl:lincRNA Rmst rhabdomyosarcoma 2 associated transcript (non-coding RNA)